GUCAGAUAUUUGAUCGCGUAAAAU
rnacentral:siRNA from 1 species